rnacentral:misc_RNA from 1 species
UACGUAGGUGGCGAGCGUUAUCCGGAUUUAUUGGGUUUAAAGGGAGCGUAGGCGGCUUAAUAAGUCAGUGGUGAAAGGUAGCAGCUUAACUGUUUUACAUGCCAUUGAUACUGUUGAGCUUGAGUUGUUAGAAGGCAGAUAGAAUUUCUGAUGUAGCGGUGAAAUGCUUAGAUAUCAGGAGGAAUACCGAUUGCGAAGGCAGUCUGCUGCAUACAUACUGACGCUGAGGCUCGAAAGUGCGGGGAUCAAACAGG